GUGCAAACUCAGUCACUGACUGCACGACAUUGCAGAAGUGAGAACAAGGUUUGCUAAAAUAACUGCUGUGAUAGAAAUGGAUUCUUGGGCCAGAGAGAUAGCACAGCAGUAAGGUGUUUGUCUUGCAAGC